UACGGAGGGGGCUAGCGUUGUUCGGAAUCACUGGGCGUAAAGCGCACGUAGGCGGAUCGUUAAGUCGGGGUGAAAUCCUGGAGCUCAACUCCAGAACUGCCUUCGAUACUGGCGAUCUUGAGUCCGGAAGAGGUGAGUGGAACUCCUAGUGUAGAGGUGGAAUUCGUAGAUAUUAGGAAGAACACCAGUGGCGAAGGCGGCUCACUGGUCCGGUACUGACGCUGAGGUGCGAAAGCGUGGG
rnacentral:rRNA from 1 species